rnacentral:misc_RNA from 1 species
GUUUUUUUAAAUUUAAAAAACAAAAAUAAAAUUAAAAAUAAAACAAUUUUACUGAGUGCAGUAAUCAACAACGAAAAUUCCAGAAAUUCGAGAACUUAAUUAAAUAUUACAAGAUCCUAGAACCCCACUAUGUUGCAGGGACCAUCUGCUUCAACUUGGCCUGUAAGACUGCCCCAGCUUCAUCCGCCGCUGUCUUCUUUUUCGACGCAAGCUCAAUUAGUUGAUCAAAAUUAGAUUUGAGCAAGUUGAUCUUGCGCUCACAAUACUCUUUGCCUUCAGCCAUUGUUUUCUCAACAAAGUAGCCAGUCCCAAUAUCAACAAGUACUUUAUUGGCAUCAUCGAGCUUUCCAGGUACAUAGAGCGAUGCAGUGAGAGGCACUAACAUUUUCUUCCCUUGGGGACGGAGGGAGAGAUCGUGAAGGGCGGAGGAUGCAAUCUCAAGGCGGGUGGUGGCAGUGCGAAUGUUGUUGAGACUUUCUUGUAACAAAUUGACUUCGAGAUCCGUCUGCUCUUUCAAGGCUUUCAGUUGCUCUAUACUCAUCUUUUCCAUCUCCGCUACUCUCACCACUGGACUGCUCCCUCCUCCUCCUCCGCCUUUCGACGACGCCAUUCUUG